rnacentral:rRNA from 1 species
AUUGAACGCUGGCGGCAGGCCUAACACAUGCAAGUCGAACGAGUGGCGGACGGGUGAGGAAUACAUCGGAAUCUACCCUGUCGUGGGGGAUAACGUAGGGAAACUUACGCUAAUACCGCAUACGAUCGAAUGAGCCGAUGUGGGAUUAGCUAGUUGGCGGGGUAAAGGCGCACCAAGGCGCCGAUCCGUAGCUGGUCUGAGAGGAUGACCAGCCACACUGGAACUGAGACACGGUCCAGACUCCUACGGGAGGCAGCAGUGGGGAAUAUUGCACAAUGGGCGCAAGCCUGAUCCAGCCAUACCGCGUGGGUGAAGAAGGCCUUCGGGUUGUAAAGCCCUUUUGGUGGGAAAGCGGUACCCAAAGAAGAAGCACCGGCUAACUUCGUGCCAGCAGCCGCGGUAAUUC